rnacentral:rRNA from 1 species
UACAGAGGGUGCAAGCGUUAAUCGGAAUCACUGGGCGUAAAGCGCACGUAGGCGGCUUUCUAAGUCAGGGGUGAAAUCCUGGAGCUCAACUCCAGAACUGCCUUUGAUACUGGAGAGCUUGAGUCCGGAAGAGGUGAGUGGAACUCCGAGUGUAGAGGUGAAAUUCGUAGAUAUUCGGAAGAACACCAGUGGCGAAGGCGGCUCACUGGUCCGGUACUGACGCUGAGGUGCGAAAGCGUGGGGAGCAAACAGG